GCCCUCCCCUUCUUCAACCAAAGUGGCUGAUCGAGAUGUUUUCCUAAACAAAACUGUUCUCCCCCUGCUAAAUGCAUUGAAACGUGCCAUCUGGUGUGUAUGCUGGCCUCCUGAGAAAUUGAGUAGUCCAAGCUCGCAGCUGAGACUCAGCUCUUCUCUCCACCAGCUGCCAGGCUGUGGCUCGACCCGGGGCCCCAGGAGGGGAUUUGUCAGAGUAAAGGCCGCUGUGGGCAGCCUCUCGGCAACCGGCCAACAGCCCCUGCUGGCAAUGUGCCACCCCUGUGAACAGCACAGAUCGAGCUUCAGAUGUGCAAGGCCUGAGGAGAAAACAAAAAAGGAUGAUGGCAAGGAGAUGAGAAAAGUUAAACACAGAAAGAAAAUGACUGAGCUGGGGUCUGAACCACCAACCUCAUCUAAGUGUGGCUGCCACCAUUAUAUGGCUCAACUAACUCCCACAGAGCUUAACAAAAAAGUCGGCCUGCUAUGUAAAACCUGUAAAACCUCUGUUUUACACGAGAGAAACGAAAGGCUUCUCACUGUCUGGAAUCACUGCCGCCAUCUUGGUUCUGACAGAGCAGAGAGAGAGAACCUGCAUCCAAGGCCAACAGCUCAGAUGAAAAGUGAGCAAAGUAAGUAAAGACAACAUUCACAGAAAGAGGAAAAACAAGUAGCCCUUAAGCAUAUGAGAAAAUGCUCAACUUCACUCAUCAUAAGAGCAAUGAAGACUGAAAUAACACCAUAAUACUACUUUUCACCUAUCAGAUUGGCAAAAAUCCAAAGGUUUGACAACAUAUUCUGUUGGUGAGGUUGUGGGGAAGUGGGGACUCUCAUGCAUGAAGGGCAAAAUGGCACAAUAUCCUGUAGUGGGGAAAGAGUAAAGAAAGGAACACAUGAACUGGAGUCUUUAUGUCCUCACCAAGAUGCCACAUCAGUCCAGCCUCCUGUGAGACUUAAGUUCCCCACUGAGUAAGCCAGUUUGAGUAGAGUUUUUGUUACCAAGAAUCCAAAAUAUCCCAAAUGAUGCCCUUGCCUCCCACCUGAAGCCCAGGAACAAACUUGUUCUGUCCAGAAUCCAGAUCAUUGAAUCUCACUGGGUCAUCCAAUGACUAGCCAAACCCAAGCAGGUACAAAUCCAAAAGCUGAGAUCAUUGCUGACAGAAGAAUCCCUCCCAGAGGAUGAGCUAUGAGCCCAUUCCAAAAUUAGUGGGUGGGUAACUGCCUAGGGUAAUAUUUAACCCAUGUGGUCAUGAGAGGGAGCUGUAUCUUGAAGGUGCUAUUGGAAUCCAAAUGUACAGAUGAUCCCAAGGAGUUAAAUCUUGAGGUGGUAAGAUGACUGCCCUUCGUCUUGCUUAGCCCAAUAUCCUG
rnacentral:lncRNA from 1 species